ACGGGAGGCAGCAGUGAGGAAUAUUGGUCAAUGGGCGGAAGCCUGAACCAGCCAAGUCGCGUGAAGGAUGAAGGUAUUAUGUAUUGUAAACUUCUUUUACCAGGGACGAACGAAAUGACGGUACCUGGAGAAAAAGCAACGGCUAACUACGUGCCAGCAGCCGCGGUAAUACGUAGGUUGCAAGCGUUGUCCGGAUUUACUGGGUGUAAAGGGCGUGUAGGCGGAGCUGCAAGUCAGAUGUGAAAUCCCGGGGCUCAACCCCGGAACUGCAUUUGAAACUGUAGCCCUUGAGUAUCGGAGAGGCAAGCGGAAUUCCUAGUGUAGCGGUGAAAUGCGUAGAUAUUAGGAGGAACACCAGUGGCGAAGGCGGCUUGCUGGACGACAACUGACGCUGAGGCGCGAAAGCGUGGGGAGCAAACAGGAUUAGAUACCCUGGUA
rnacentral:rRNA from 1 species